rnacentral:tRNA from 1 species
GGAUGGAUGUCCGAGAGGCCGAAGGAGCACGAUUGGAAAUCGUGUAGGCGGGGAUAACUCGUCUCGUGGGUUCAAAUCCCACUCCAUCCG